GACGAACGCUGGCGGCGUGCUUAACACAUGCAAGUCGAACGGAAAGGCCCUGCUUUUGUGGGGUGCUCGAGUGGCGAACGGGUGAGUAACACGUGAGUAACCUGCCCUUGACUUUGGGAUAACUUCAGGAGACUGGGGCUAAUACCGGAUAGGAGCUCCUGCUGCAUGGUGGGGGUUGGAAAGUUUCGGCGGUUGGGGAUGGACUCGCGGCUUAUCUGCUUGUUGGUGGGGUAGUGACUUACCAAGGCUUUGACGGGUAGCCGGCCUGAGCGGGUGACCGGCCACAUUGGGACUGAGAUACGGCCCAGACUCCUACGGGAGGCAGCAGUGGGGAAUAUUGCACAAUGGGCGGAAGCCUGAUGCAGCAACGCCGCGUGCGGGAUGACGGCCUUCGGGUUGUAAACCGCUUUCGCCUGUGACGAAGCGUGAGUGACGGUACCGGAAGAAGAAGCCCCGGCUAACUUCGUGCCAGCAGCCGCAGUAACAC
rnacentral:rRNA from 1 species